rnacentral:rRNA from 1 species
UACAGAGGUCUCAAGCGUUGUUCGGAAUCACUGGGCUUAAAGGCGCGUAGGCGGGCUGCCAAGUCCGGGGUGAAAUCUUUCGGCUCAACCGGGAAAGUGCCUUGGAUACUGGCGGCCUUGAGGGAGGUAGGGUAUGUGGAACUUCCGGUGGAGCGGUGAAAUGCGUUGAUAUCGGAAGGAACGCCGGUGGCGAAAGCGACGUACUGGACCUCUUCUGACGCUGAGGCGCGAAAGCUAGGGGAGCGAACGGG